rnacentral:rRNA from 1 species
AGCGAACGCUGGCGGCAGGCUUAACACAUGCAAGUCGAGCGGGCAUCCUUGUGGUGUCAGCUGCAGACGGGUGAGUAACGCGUGGGAACGUGCCCUUCGUUUCGGAAUAACUCAUGGAAACGUGAGCUAAUACCGGAUACGUGCUAGUGCAGAAAGGUUUAUCUGCGUAAGGGUCGGCCCGCUUCUGAUUAGGUAGGUGUUGAUGUUACGGCUCCCCAAGGCGACGAUCACUAGCUGGUCGGAGAGGAUGAUCAGACACACUGGGACUGAGACACAGCCCAGAAUACUACGGGAAGCAGGAGUGGGGAAUAUUGGAAAAUCGGGGCAAUCAUGAUCCAGCCAUGCCGCGUGAGUGAUGACGGCCUUAGGGUUGUACAGCUCUUUUCUCCGGCACGAUACUGACGGUACCGGAGGAAUAAGCCCCGGCUAACUUCGUG